rnacentral:rRNA from 1 species
UACAGAGGGUGCGAGCGUUAAUCGGAAUUACUGGGCGUAAAGCGCGCGUAGGCGGCUUUGCAAGUCGGGUGUGAAAUCCCCAGGCUUAACCUGGGAACUGCAUUCGAGACUGCAUUGCUAGAGUAUGGGGGAGGGAAGUGGAAUUUCCGGUGUAGCGGUGAAAUGCGUAGAUAUCAAGUGGAACACCAGUGGCGAAGGCGAGUCUCUGGACAUUUCCUGACGCUGAGGCACGAAAGCCAGGGGAGCAAACGGG